AAUGAACGUUGGCGGCGUGGAUUAGGCAUGCAAGUCGAGCGAUGAAGCGGUGCUUGCACCGUGGAUUAGCGGCGAAAGGGAGAGUAACGCGUAGGUAUGUACCCCCUGGUCUGGGAUAGCGGCGGGAAACUACCGGUAAUACCGGAUAAUGUCCCCGGACCAAAGGUGUGAUUCCGCCAGGGGAGCGGCCUGCGUCCUAUUAGGUUGUUGGUGGGGUAACGGCCUACCAAGCCAAAGAUGGGUACCGGGUGUGAGAGCAUGGCCCGGCUCACUGGGACUGAGACACUGCCCAGACACCUACGGGUGGCUGCAGUCGAGAAUCUUCCGCAAUGGGCGCAAGCCUGACGGAGCGACGCCGCGUGCGGGAUUAAGGCCUUCGGGUUGUAAACCGCUGUCAGAGAGGCGGAAAUGCGUAGGGGCUAUCCCCUAUGUUUGACCUAAUCUCAGAGGAAGUGCAGGCUAAGUUCGUG
rnacentral:rRNA from 1 species